GACGAACGCUGGCGGCGUGCCUAAUACAUGCAAGUCAAGCGGAUUGAUGGGAGCUUGCUCCCUGAUAUCAGCGGCGGACGGGUGAGUAACACGUGGGCAACCUGCCUAUAAGACUGGGAUAACUUCGGGAAACCGGAGCUAAUACCGGAUAAUCCCUUUCCUCUCAUGAGGAAAGGCUGAAAGAUGGUUUACGCUAUCACUUAUAGAUGGGCCCGCGGCGCAUUAGCUAGUUGGUGAGGUAACGGCUCACCAAGGCAACGAUGCGUAGCCGACCUGAGAGGGUGAUCGGCCACACUGGGACUGAGACACGGCCCAGACUCCUACGGGAGGCAGCAGUAGGGAAUCUUCCGCAAUGGGCGAAAGUCUGACGGAGCAACGCCGCGUGAGUGAUGAAGGUUUUCGGAUCGUAAAACUCUGUUGUUAGGGAAGAACAAGUACGGGAGUAACUGCUCGUACCUUGACGGUACCUAACCAGAAAGCCACGGCUAACUACGUGCCAGCAGCCGCCGUAA
rnacentral:rRNA from 1 species